rnacentral:rRNA from 1 species
UACCAGCACCCCGAGUGGUCGGGACGAUUAUUGGGCCUAAAGCAUCCGUAGCCGGUUCUACAAGUCUUCCGUUAAAUCCACCUGCUUAACAGAUGGGCUGCGGAGGAUACUAUAGAGCUAGGAGGCGGGAGAGGCAAGCGGUACUUAGUGGGUAGGGGUAAAAUCCGUUGAUCCAUUGAAGACCACCAGUGGCGAAGGCGGCUUGCCAGAACGCACUCGACG